UCCGAUGCUGAGUUGAUGGCGAGCAAGGAUAUUUUUUUAAUAUUACAUGGACCAAUCAGUGGCCGCAGUGUGCUCCACGUAAUUUUUGCUGCACCACAUGCGGUGCACAAAGAAUUACUUAUCAUUCUUGUCAAAGGUAUAGUUAGUAAUCAAGGAGUGACCAUGCAAUCCACUAGCUGGUUAUCUUCCCGACAAAUAUGGAAGAUCUUAACCAAUGGCUAU
rnacentral:lncRNA from 1 species